GGAAUGUGGCUCAAGCGGUAGGGCACUCGCCUGGCGUGCGUGCGGCCCUAGUUCGAUCUUCAGCACCA
rnacentral:tRNA from 1 species